AUGCUUGGUCACUUGGUAUUACGAGUAAAUUGACUGUUAGAAAUAUGAGGGAUCCAGACGAACAUAUAAUUUUAUAGGAACCGUUUAAUAAUUAAUAAUAAAAUAUAUUAUAAUUGACCUUACUCCAUUUUUAAUGAAACUUAGGUCAAAAUGCAGAUAAAAAUAUGCUGGUUCUAGUGACAUAUUCAUCGUUUUAUAAAACGUUAUAUUUUAAAAGUUAUACAAGAAAAAUGAGUGAAGCACCUGAAUUAAUUAUAAUAUACAAAAUAAUAAUAAAACUACACACUUAAAAGAAUUGUUGUAUACGUGUGUGUUUUUCUGAAGAUAGGAACAAAUAUAGUUAACGUAGCAAACUUGAUGGAAAAGUGAACUUCAAUAUCACUAUACUUCAACUAUAAAUAGAGUAGUUGGUGGGCUUUCCAAACUGCUCACAUUUUUCUUUCUAUCUCGCUCUCUCUUCUCAGUUUUUAUACCCCAAAAUCCUAACUCUGCUCCACAGUAAGUGUUUUAACCGUGAUCAUUGGUACGAUACCCUGUCUGAUCGAUCUGAAACCCAUCAACGGAUGUCAAAGUGCGGCCUCAAUAAGGUUAUACUUUGUUAACUACGUUGGCGUUUUGAUCUCGUGAUUUAUCGUUAAAGUUUGAAUUGGGUUAAUACAUUAAUACAUGUUGCAUUGUGUUUUUAUUAGGAAUCCAGGCUUAACACCAAGAGACUAUAGUAAUAAACCCUAAAUCUACAAAGUGAGUCAUUCUCUUUUUAUCAAAUGCUUUCAAAGCCCUAAAUGUUUUCCAAGUAUUACUUAUAUUACAAUGAUUAAGUCUUUGUAUUCUUACUGGGAAACUAUUGUCAGUAUGUGGGGAUUUGUAUACAUUACUUUUUAUGCAUCACUAUUGGACUAUGGGUUAGCCAAUUAGUGAUAUGACCACAGUCACAGGAACUGCCACCGAGUGACAAAUACUAUUUAAAAUAGUUUCUUUACUAUUGGACAACGAGUUAGCCAAUAGUAGUUUGGUAAGAUAAACAAAUGUAAAAAAAAAAAAAACUCUAAAUGUUGUAAUUAUAAGAAUUGUUUUAUACA
rnacentral:lncRNA from 1 species